AGUCGACGGAUCUGUGGUGUAGCAAUACAUCAUAUGGUUAGUGGCGUAAGGGUGCGUAACACGUGGGCAACCUGCCCGGAAGAGUGGGAUAGCUCGCCGAAAGGCGAAUUAAUACCGCAUGAGGCUAGAAGGGGAAUCCCUUUGAGGCCAAAGUUGGUGAAAGCUAACGCUUCUGGAUGGGCCCGCGGCCUAUCAGCUAGUUGGUUGAGGUAACGGCUCACCAAGGCUAUGACGGGUAGCUGGUCUGAGAGGACGACCAGCCACACUGGAACUGAGACACGGUCCAGACACCUACGGGUGGCAGCAGUCGAGAAUUUUUCUCAAUGGGGGAAACCCUGAAGGAGCGACGCCGCGUGGAGGAUGAAGGUCUUCGGAUUGUAAACUCCUGUCAUUGGUGAACAAGGUCUACCGGGUAACUACCGGUGGGAUUGAUAGUAGCCGAAGAGGAAGAGACGGCUAACUCUGUGCCAGCAGCCGCGGUAAUACAGAGGUCUCAAGCGUUGUUCGGAUUCAUUGGGCGUAAAGGGUGCGUAGGCGGCGAGGCAAGUCUGGUGUGAAAUCCCGGGGCUCAACCCCGGAACUGCACUGGAUACUGCUUUGCUAGAGUACUGGAGAGGGAACUGGAAUUUACGGUGUAGCAGUGAAAUGCGUAGAUAUCGUAAGGAAGACCAGCGGCGAAAGCGAGUUCCUGGACAGUUACUGACGCUGAGGCACGA
rnacentral:rRNA from 1 species